AACAUUGACUACUAGCUAGCUAGCCUUCUCUAUGUUUUGAGCAUAAAUAACCCCCAUGGAAUGGACACUACUACACCACCUGAAGCUUCAUAUUCUUGUUCGUAACCCCUUAUAAGUUUGUCAUCGAUCAAAAUCUUCAAACCUUUCAAUGGCAGAUGAGGUUGUGCUGUUGAAUUUCUGGCUGAGUCCAUUCGGAAUGAGGCUGAGGAUCGCUCUAGCUGAGAAAGGCAUCAAAGCACGAGUACAAGGAAGAAGACCUCAACAACAAGAGCCCACUUUUAUUGAAGUCGAACCCGGUUCACAAGAAGAUCCCGGUUCUCAUUCACAAUGGAAAACCCGUCAGUGAAUCCCUCAUUGCCCUCCAGUACAUUGACGAAACUUGGAAUGACAAGGCUCCACUGUUGCCCUCUGAUCCUUACCUCAGAUCCCAAGCCAGGUUCUGGGCCGACUUCGUUGACAAAAAGGUUGCCCAUUUUGGGUGGAAGGUAUGCACGACCAAUGGAGAAGAACAGGAUUCAGCAAAGAAGGCCCUCCAUGAUUGCCUUGAAUUACUGGAAGGAGAGCUUGGAGAGAAGCCUUACUUUGGCGGUGAGAGCUUUGGUUUAGUAGACGUGACACACGUUCCCUGCUUUGGCUGGCUUUCCCUGUACGAGAAGUUUGGAAACUUCAUUGUAGAGGCAGAGCACCCAGUGCUCAUAGCUUGGGGGAAGAGGUGUUUGCAGAAGGAGAGUGUGUCCAAGUCUCUUCCUGACCAGCAAAAGCUCUACGACUAUGUUGUGCAACGGAGGAAAGAGCUUGGAAUAGAAUAGAUUGGCAUCGGAGAAAGCAUGCAGACCGUAAUAACUAAUAGCAAAGGAUGAACUGAUGAUGAUUAUCAUCCAUGGGUUUCUUCUUUUGUUUAAGCAGUUUCAACCUCUUAUAUCUGGUUAAACUUUAACUAGGGAUCUUUACAUGUACAAUAACGGGCAAUUUACCAAGCCCUCCACAUUCAAUUUCUCUUUUUAAGUUCUCAUAUGAAUUUGUAA